rnacentral:rRNA from 1 species
UACGUAGGGUGCGAGCGUUGUCCGGAAUUACUGGGCGUAAAGCGUGCGCAGGCGGUUUUGUAAGCCAGAUGUGAAAUCCCCGGGCUUAACCUGGGAAUGGCAUUUGGGACUGCAAGGCUUGAGUGUGGCAGAGGAGACUGGAAUUCCUGGUGUAGCAGUGAAAUGCGUAGAUAUCAGGAGGAACACCGAUGGCGAAGGCAGGUCUCUGGGCUAACACUGACGCUCAUGCACGAAAGCGUGGGGAGCAAACAGG